UUUCAAUUCAUAAAUAUCUCC
rnacentral:piRNA from 1 species